rnacentral:rRNA from 1 species
CCUACGGGUGGCAGCAGUGAGGAAUAUUGGUCAAUGGGCGCAAGCCUGAACCAGCCAAGUAGCGUGCAGGAUGACGGCCCUACGGGUUGUAAACUGCUUUUAUACGGGAAUAACGCGCCUUACGUGUACGGCUUUGCAUGUACCUUAUGAAUAAGGAUCGGCUAAUUCCGUGCCAGCAGCCGCGGUAAUACGGAGGGUCCGGGCGUUAUCCGGAUUUAUUGGGUUUAAAGGGAGCGUAGGCCGCAUGUCAAGCCUGCUGUGAAAUGUUCGGGCUCAACCCGGGCCUUGCAGCGCAAACUGGCGUGCUUGAGUCCGCGAGAGGCAGGCGGAAUUCGUCGUGUAGCGGUGAAAUGCUUAGAUAUGACGAAGAACCCCGAUUGCGAAGGCAGCUUGCUGCAGCGGAACUGACGCUGAUGCUCGAAAGCGUGGGUAUCGAACAGGAUUAGAUACCCGGGUAGUC